CAGACACAACAUGGUUUUAAUGAGAAGAUUGGUUAGGGUUGCGAAAAUUUGGAUAGUUACUGGUUAUCUCAUAGCUGAGCAGAUUACCUCUGUUGAAGUGGCAAGGAGCUGCUGUUUGGUUAACCCGGUCGAAUUAGUUUUCUUCACAAUACUUUGGUAGCAUCCCAAAAUCCUUGCUCGGCUAUGUGGUGUUGCAGUUUCAUCUACUGCAUUAUCCACUUCCUUUGGUGGCAAGGAACGGGAUCCCAAGGUGUUGGCUUUAGAAUUCCUAAUCUCGGAUUGGAUGGAUUUUCAUUGAGGGAAGCUGUACUGAUGGUCAUCUCUGCGAAAUGCGAUUUUAUGGUCGUCUCUGAGGGAAGCUGUACUGAGGUGUUGGCGUUAAAAAUCCGCAUUUUGAAUACGGUUAUGGAAUUCAAUUUUAAGUUUAAUCCACCCGUGCGACGGGUCACACCCUAGUUAUGUUAAAUAUAUAUACUACUAACAUUGAAAUAUUAGUGGGGGCACUUGCCCACAUACUAGCAGGAAUACAUCCGUCCAUCCAUGGCUACAGGUUUGUAGGGAAACUCCAUUUCAUAAAAGACAACAUUCCUUUAUACACUGAGACUUCUAGAGUGUAAGUCUAAGAUGACAUAACCUUUCAUGCCUUGUUUGUAACCAAAAAACAUACCAUCGUUAG